rnacentral:rRNA from 1 species
UACGUAGGGUGCAAGCGUUGUCCGGAAUUAUUGGGCGUAAAGAGCUCGUAGGCGGUUUGUCGCGUCUGCUGUGAAAGCUCGGGGCUUAACCCCGGGCCUGCAGUGGGUACGGGCAGACUAGAGUGCGGUAGGGGAGACUGGAAUUCCUGGUGUAGCGGUGAAAUGCGCAGAUAUCAGGAGGAACACCGGUGGUGUAGACGGCUCACUGGACCGUAACUGACGCUGAGACACGAAAGCGUGGGUAGCAAACAGG